GACGAACGCUGGCGGCGUGCCUAACACAUGCAAGUCGAACGGUGAAAGCGGAGCUUGCUCCGCUGGAUCAGUGGCGAACGGGUGAGUAACACGUGGGCAACCUGCCCCUCACUUCGGGAUAACUCCGGGAAACCGGGGCUAAUACCGGAUAUGACCUCCUUGGGCAUCCUUGGAGGUGGACAGUUUUUCGGUGAGGGAUGGGCCCGCGGCCUAUCAGCUUGUUGGUGAGGUAGUGGCUCGCCAAGGCGACGACGGGUAGCCGGCCUGAGAGGGCGACCGGCCACACUGGGACUGAGACACGGCCCAGACUCCUACGGGAGGCAGCAGUGGGGAAUAUUGCGCAAUGGGCGAAAGCCUGACGCAGCAACGCCGCGUGCGGGAUGACGGCCUUCGGGUUGUAAACCGCUUUCAGCAGGGAAGAAGCCGCAAGGUGACGGUACCUGCAGAAGAAGCACCGGCUAACUACGUGCCAGCCGCCGCCGUAA
rnacentral:rRNA from 1 species